GGGGGUAUAGCUCAGUGGUAGAGCAUGUGCUUGUGUGUCCGAGGUCUUGGGUUCAAUUCCCAGGGCCUCUG
rnacentral:tRNA from 1 species